rnacentral:rRNA from 1 species
UGAGUCAUAUCUAAUCUCACGCGGGUGCCAUUACGGGAGUGGGCAAGGGGUGAGUGGGCGUGGGAAUUUGCCUUCUGGUACGGAAAACCGAUGGAAACGCCGGCUAAUACCGUAUGUACCCUGCGGGGGAAGGAUUUAUCGCCAGAAGAUGAGCCCGCGUCGGAUUAGGUAGUUGGUGAGGUAACGGCUCACCAAGCCGACGAUCCGUAGCUGGUCUGAGAGGAUGAUCAGCCACACUGGGACUGAGACACGGCCCAGACUCCUACGGGAGGCAGCAGUGGGGAAUAUUGGACAAUGGGCGCAAGCCUGAUCCAGCCAUGCCGCGUGAGUGAUGAAGGCCCUAGGGUUGUAAAGCUCUUUCGACGGGGAAGAUAAUGACGGUACCCGUAGAAGAAGCCCCGGCUAACUUCGUGCCAGCAGCCGCGGUAAUACGAAGGGGGCUAGCGUUGUUCGGAAUUACUGGGCGUAAAGGGCGUGUAGGCGGGACGUUAAGUCUGGUUUUAAAGACCGAAGCUCAACUUCGGGAGUGGACUGGAUACUGGCGCUCUAGACCUCUGGAGAGAGAACCGGAAUUCCUGGUGUAGCGGUGGAAUGCGUAGAUACCAGGAGGAACACCGAUGGCGAAGGCAGGUUCUUGGACAGAAGGUGACGCUGAGGCGCGAAAGUGUGGGAGCGAACCGGAUUAGAUACCCGGGUAGUCCACACCCUAAACGAUGUACGUUAGCUUACCGCAGGAUGCUGUGGUGGGCGAAGCUAACGCGAUAAACGUACCGCCUGGGAAGUACGGCCGCAAGGUUG